rnacentral:lncRNA from 1 species
CUUCACAUUAAAGAAGCAUCCCACAGAGAACAGGUGGUGGUAUGUUUCUCUUAGGUGGGGAUGUCAUCUUUUCCGAGGUACUCCUUCCUCAGUUCAUAACUAAAAGGAGUAUUUUUUCUUUAUCUUGGCCGAGCAACCCUGGAAUCUCUGCACGUCAUGGGGUAGAUCCUAUACGUCAGCGAUUAGAGCUCCAAUUUUGUUUGGCAUCG